rnacentral:rRNA from 1 species
AGUGAACGCUGGCGGUAGGCCUAACACAUGCAAGUCGAACGGCAGCACAGUAAGAGCUUGCUCUUACGGGUGGCGAGUGGCGGGCGGGUGAGGAAUACAUCGGAAUCUACUUUUUCGUGGGGGAUAACGUAGGGAAACUUACGCUAAUACCGCAUACGACCUACGGGUGAAAGCAGGGGAUCUUCGGACCUUGCGCGAAUGAAUGAGCCGAUGUGGGAUUAGCUAGUUGGCGGGGUAAAGGCCCACCAAGGCGACGAUCCGUAGCUGGUGUGAGAGGAUGAUCGGCCACACUGGAACUGGAACACGGUCCAGACUACUACGGGAGGCAGCAGUGGGGAAUAUUGGACAAUGGGCGCAAGCCUGAUCCAGCCAUACCGCGUGGGUGAAGAAGGCCUUCGGGUUGUAAAGCCCUUUUGUUGGGAAAGAAAAGCAGCAGGUUAAUACCCCGCUGUUCUGACGGUACCCAAAGAAUAAGCACCGGCUAACUUCGUG